UGCUCCGGCGUCCGCUCCCGGCGUCCGCCGCUCUCCAUGGAUUCCGCCGCCGCUCUCCUCAGCUUCCCGCUGCCGCCGCCGGAGAAAAACCGAGGCUCGCGGCUUUGCGCUCGCGCACGGAGGAGACAGUUGCCAAGAAGCGUGCAGACCCAGCAACUGCGCCGCGACCCCAAUGACAUUUUAUAGAUGAGAAAACUGAGAUUCAGAGAUGGACACCUGACCUGUCCUGUGCUCUUGAUCUCCCAGAAAGUGACCCUCCUGGCUUACAGAUCACCCUGAGGAUGGGGUCAGGGGUGGGGAGAGCCUUGAAGUUUCUGACUAUGGAAAGCCAGCCACAGCUCCAUGCACAACGCUGGUCCUGCCCAAGUCUCCCUCCCUAUACUGAGACAUAUUCUGCACUCACCUCGGUGAACUAGAAUUCACCACACUGGAAAAUGACUGUUGUGGAAUCUCAGAAGUCAGGGAGGAGCUAUUCUCACAGUGUGUGCACAAACCCAGUGUGAUUCCCCUUCUCUGCAGGUUCCUGACAGCUUCCAUUGGAGAAGGUAUGGGGAGUGCACAGUGUUUUAUGUCAUUUUACUGACUAAUAUUAACUGAUCAUAUUGGACAUUUGCUUCCUUGUUUUCAAUUGUCUCUAAUGGGAUAAAGAACCAUUUUUAAUGUAUUAAGAAGAUUACAAUAUCUGGUGAUUAUUGUUUAUGUGUACUUGGACAUUUUUAAAUUAUAUACUUCCAGGAAGUUCCACGAGGAUCCAUUAGUAUUUAAAGAACAAAUAUGGAAAUAGGCGGAAAGGCAUUUUUUGAUACACAGAAAUGGAUUGCAUUUCUAUGUCCUUUGAAUUUUGUUCUGGUCUGAGAGUGACUUCUGCUUUGGUGUACAUGUUCACAGCAGAAAGAUGAGCUUUAAAUCUUCAUCUAAUCCGGGCCUUGACUUUUAGAAAGGAAAACUUGGGCUGCUCAGGUCUCUCUGAGUGUGCGGAGACACAAAUGCGGACACUUACAGGCUGCCCAUGGGAACACACACCAUGCACACUCAGGGUGUGACUUGGCCGAGGGUGGUGGUGCAGGUGUAGAGUCUCCACCACUAAUGCUGCCAUCACCAUCACCAAAUUAUCAGCACCCAUGUAACAUGGUUGUUUUCAGCUAUGACUGCACAAUGACAUCAAGUUCAAAUUGUCUCUGUGAACUGCAUCCAUUUGGUUCUCAAAAAGUUUUGUUUACUCAAUAGGGUAGAUAUUAUUAUUAUUUUUCUGAAACUUUGUGUUCUGUACAGGAGUUAAAACAAUAGGUAAGUUAAAAAUUAAAAGUAUAAGCACCACAAUUUGGCACAAAUUAAAUUUGCAUAAAACCUUGGGGAAAAAACUACUAUGCAUUCAGUUGCCAGUAUCACUUUAAAGGACUUUUUAAAUUUUAAAGUCUAAGUUAUUACUUUACAGUUAGGUCAUUUUAACCAAUACUAUUUUCCUUUUACCCUAAGAUCCACUACAUAUUUUCAUAUUGAAAUAAUUAUAAUUUUCAGGUAGUUCACUGCUAUAUAAUGGAUUCAUGGAGGGUAAAAUAGAAAGCAGGCAACAGUAUUAAGAUUGAUUGUAAGUGUGCGAGUAAUCACCCAUUGCUCAAAGCAAAAAAAGCAUAAAUAAAACAGAAGAAAAUCUGAGAAGGAAAAAGAAAUCCACUACUAUCCUUACUGCAACUCUAAGUGCUAAGUUUGUUCUUCCAUUGUCACUUGAGUCCAUGGACAGCAUGUGGAGUAGAACAAGCUCUCAGUGCUUCCACCAUCUGCCACCCCAUCCAGAGAACAUGCUCAUGAUUAGCUCUCAAAUCAGCUUCUGUUAUUUGUACCUCAUAACCCAGAAUUCCUGCUGCACAGUGGUAUGAAAAGUAUAGUAAUUCAUCUUCAAGUUCAACUUCCAGUAUCUUUCUGAAUCUAAGUUCUCUUAAACACAUACCAGAAUGCCCAUCACAUAUGCUAAAUGAAAUACAAAUAAAAUUAGGAUUUGUUCCACAAUUCCUCCCCACUUUGAACCACUCACUUCCUCAGUUACCUUUUGCACUGAUCAGCUUUCAAUUUGCUGGACAAUGAACCCCACACCCCAUCAGAAAGGUUCAGUUUGGCUCAGGACUGCAUUUGAUGGGGGGCCAGCAUCAAUUCAGGAAGCUCAUAAUGGAGGGCCUGGGAAAAACAGAGCUGCUCAGGUCAAGGUGGCUGGGAAGCUGAGUGGGUUGGAAAGAGCACCAGCAAGAGACUUAAACUGCUUCAGUGUCACCUCCAAGUGACCCUCCCUCCACCAGCGUUCAGCUGGACACCGGUGGGUCAGUUAACCCUGCACUGUUUCACCCCAUGACCUGACCACCUCUCCAAGAUCUCCUGAUCCACUCAGUGGACAAUGAGCCCACAGUCACAGGAGAACAUAGUCAUGUUUCUGAGCUGAUCUUUUGAGUUAUGUCCUGACAAAUGUACCUAUAAACCUCUUACUCCACACCUGGCAUUUCAGAGACCUCCAGGGCAUUGAGCAGUAACCAGGAUUCUGUCCUCCUGCAGCUGCAGACUGAGUCUAAGGACUGCUGUGUCCCUGUAGAAUGCCCACUGAGACUGACAGGAGGGGGUCAGUCAUGGAGGACACGGCCUGGCCUGAGGCCAAGGUGAGAACAGAGUCCUUAUGGGAACUGAGAUGCUCUGGAAGAAAGCAAGUGACAGUGGAAUGAGUUUAAUAAAAUCUCAACCAGAAGUAUUGAGAGUAUCACAAAAACUGACCUGUAUAGGAUUACAUUGUUUUCUUUCUUUUGGAAAUUUCAUUAAUAUAUGAAACACUUUUAUUAAAAUAGAUAUUGAAAUGAUAUUACAGACGUGAGUGAAUUAUUCACAGAAUAUUCACAAAUUUAAUUUUUACUGUGUAUAAUAAUUUACAUGUUCACAAAGUCUCAUAGUUUCUUGGUAAUAAAUUAAUCAAUCAUACCUUCUCUUAGAAAAUUAUACUAUUACUCUAUUGCCUUUUGAAGGAUUUAAAAAUGUUUCUAUUAUUUUUAUUCCUGAAAAAAAUUCACGAUGUCAAGAGGCACAGAUUUUCCAAUAGUUUUAGACUUGAAAAGCUGAUGAAUUUUUUAUUUUUAUCAGUACAUGCUUGCACUACAUGCUUACAUUACUAGUGGAAAGCUGAUACAUGUACAUAACAAAUCAUAAUCCUUUUUGUGUCCCCUUCUGCUUCCACUUCCAUGUCUUGAUUUUCAUUCCAUUUACAAAAGAUCUAACUCUCUUUUAAAAAUAUUUCCUUUUCCUAUUUUAUUCAUUACAUUGGAUUUCUAAUAGGAGAGAAACUAUGUGAUAUUUAAGCCUGUGUGUCUGACUUACUUCAUUAAUAUUAGAGUCUCAAGGUGUUUCCAUUGUCUUACCAGUGACCCACGUUUCUUCUUGCUUAUCACAGAGUGGUACUUCAUUGUGUAUAAAUACACUAUUUUCUUUCUCCAUUCACCUGUUCAUUGUGGUGCUGAACCCAUGGCAUGCAUGUUAUUGUGUUUUUCUGUUAAGACAAAAUAUGUUAAUGUAUGAAUUGGUUUUUUUCUAAAUGAAAACUUCAAUAUUGAGGUUGAAUGGCAGUGUUGGCACUUUGCCAUGAAUGAGUGGAUGUGGGGUUGCAGUUUGGGCACUCAGUCUUUAAAGGCUUUGCUGUCGCUGGGCUAGAGAAUCAGCGGUUUCAUACCUAAUGCUAUGAAGUGUGGAUCCUGACAACUUGCUCAGGGAAUUCCUUGCCUUUUGCAUAAAGAGAACAGGAAGUGUGAGGUAGAGAGCUGAAACCACAGUGGGAAACCACAGACAUAGUGCUUGGUCAGCUCAGAGAAACUCAUAUCACAUCAAGGGAAGUGAUAGCACCACUAUCUUUUAAGUAGAAAACUGCAGACACAAUUUCAACCUGGCACCAAUUGAUUUAUUUACUCUUUAUUUUUAUGUAAGAUGUAAACUUAUGAUGUUUACCUAUAUGCAAGGAAUUGAUUAUUAUAGUAAGCAGAUCUACUACAGAGCAUCUUCCAUAUUCCUCUAUCAGGGUGUGCAAUACGAGCAACUAAAAUUUACUUUUUCUAAAAUGUAGUAUGCAAUACAACAGUGCUCGUUUUAAUUUUACAAGUGUGCAUGAGGUUUCUCAGCUUCUGGACCCUUUGUAAUGAAAAGUUGUAGGACUUGGCAUAUUUCUCUCCACUUCCUCCCAAUCAGAAAUUCUGAUAAUCACCAUGUUAUAUCUGUUUUGAUGUAAUUCAUUUUAUAUCAAAAAUAUGAGUGAUAUCAUGUAGUAUUUAUUUUUCUUUUUAUAAUUCUGAGCACUGAACCCAGUACCUUGCCUACGUUAGGUGAGCAUGCUCCAGCUGAGGUACAUCUCCAGGACUUUUAAAAUUUUGUUGAUGCAGGCUCUUUAAGGUCACCCAGGUAGGCUGGAACUUGUGCAAGUCCUGCCUCAGUGUAUCCAGCAUGGGCGGCAAGGGGCCUGUAUUGCCAAGGCUGGCUAGUGUUUUUCCUUUUCAUCUGAAAGAGAGUCCAUUUAAAAAUUGGAAGAAGAGAAUCUUACCCAGAUUUGGGGUGCUGCAGCCUCCUUUCAGUGGUGCUUUCUAGGUUCUUCCUGUCUUAACACAGAAUCAGUCAAAAGAAGUGAGAAGGUAACUAGGGUGCACACUUGCUAAAGGUAGGGGCGAACAUGCUCCGCAGAGCAAUCUUGGGCUCCGCAGAUCGAGCAUGGCUCGCGGCACAGGAAGACGCAGCCUGGGCUCCACUGGGAGGGUCUUCGUUUUUCCCACUCCACAGGCUGACAUCAGGCCUGGGCCUUCCAGUCAGAAAUGGUUCCCAGGUCUCAGCAGAACCUUGUGUGCCAGGUCACCUGCCAUCAGCCAGCUGUGCCACCUCCAAGCUCCAGCCUCAGGAGUGAAUGGCACUGUUUCAUCAAGGUAGCCUUUUCCAGAUGCCCAGGUGCAGCAGAUGGAGCCCAGCUGGCAUCCAGGCCCGCUCACUCCUGCAGAGCUGCACAGCCCAGGACAUGCCACCCAGGACACUGGGGCACAGGGCUCCCACUGGCUUCCCAGACUGCUGCUCACAGGAGCCCUUUUGCUCCACUCUGCUUGCACAGGCUUCAGUUCCCAAUGUCUUUGAAUCAUGGAUAUAAGAUUAUUUUUGCCUCAGCUGGGUAAUAGACAUCCUAUCUGUUCACUUUUUCCAUCUUCUGUGUUUAUUUACCCAGCCAUCACACCUAAAUCAAACUGCUAGCCAUCUUGUAUCCCCUGCAUACUGAUCCUCAGAAACAGAAAACAGGGGCCAGCCCUUGCACAAGAGGGUCUGUAGCCCACAUACUGCCCUUGGGUCUGAAGGCCCUGCUGCCCCACUGGCCUCCAGGGUGUCCAGCACAGCGCAGUGUCAGGCUCUGCACUGGGAUGCAAUGUGGACAGGCCACUCCAGGCCAGCUACCAGGCAGCCAGCUGCCUGUCUGAGGACCCGUCUCACUGUCAUGGCCCACGGGCAGCCCAAUCUGGGGGGAGUGGCACCUUUCAUACCCUUUUUCUGAUGUGUGUUGGAAAUUGCCCAAAGGAUAAAAGUCCAGACUGCAUGCUCCUCCCUCCUAGUGAUUCCCGAGGCAUUUUACAGCAUUCCCUUUUCUGCUUAAAGUGUAAUGGAACUAUUUUUUUUCAGGUUUCAGUUAAUUGCUCUAGCUGACAGUAUCUGAUUCCUAACUCUAAUUGCCUUCCAUUGCUAAAAAGAGAACUAUAAAAGAAAUAAUGAAUGCUUGGAGGAGGACAGUGAUAGAAACUGGGAAUAUAAAUGUUAAAAGAGGUCCAAAUGGAAAAGCUUUAGGACUGACUGUAUUUAUUGCAAUGAAAGCACCCAUGAUAAAGUUAACUUACAGCUAUCAAAUUGUUUCUGCAUUUGAGUGAAAGUCCCCUACAUGAGUGUCCUUGUAAGGAUGAUAAAAUAUACAGUGAAUUCUUCUGCCCAGUACCAGGCAAUGGGAAGGUGGGCUCAUAAAACAUGACAGUGGGCUUUGGAUCCAGAUUUGGUACCAUGCACACUGAGGCUCUUCUCCAAAAUGUAAAUAACCAGGAAAGGUAAACAGUUUUAAUCCACUCAAGACAUAACAGGGCCAUGGUAGCCCAACUAAUGACAAGAAAGGGCAAUUCCAGAACUGCUUCAGAAAGCAGCAAAAAAGAUGGGAUAAGUGUGUUCAAAUCAGGGGAAGAUUUUAAGGGGGAUUAAUGCCAAGAUGUCUCUUACUGUAACAUUUUUUUAAUUUAAAAAUUCAACAAAGUUUUUGAUUACACCUCGUGUUCUUAAGUCUGGAAAGUUUCCUACAUAUUCCCUUUUCAUUUCUUCAUGUUAACAAAAUAUUCUCUUCACAUGCAUGAAAGAUACAGGCUCAUUAUUUUGAUAGAGAAGAAGCAGCAAAUGAAAAUAAAAAUUAUGACUUAAAAUAUAUAAUUGCUGUACCUAAUCUUAAAACUUUUUUUUUUGGUACCAGGGAUUGACCUCAGGUCCUUGUGCUUGGACAGCAGGCAGUGAAACCACUGAGCUAAAUCCCCAGCCUUUAAAUGUUUUAAAACUUACAGAUUAAUGACACUUCAUGAGACACAGGCAUUAAAUAUAUUUCUAGUGCUGACACACAGAUGAACCCAUCAGGGCACAAGUUUGCCUAGCUUUUCCCAGAACAGAUUCUCUGAGUUACUCUUCCCAGGACCCCCAGCACCUCCUUGUUCCUCAGGCUGUAGAUCACAGGGUUGAGCACUGGGGUGAGGAUGGUGUAGAAGAUAGCCACCACCUUGUCUUCUGCUGGAGACCAGAGGGACUUUGGGUGGACAUAAGUGUAAGCAAAGGGUGCAAUAUAGAAAGUCAGCAUGUUGAAGUGGGCACUGCAGGUGGCAUAGGCCUUCUUCCUGCUUUCCCAUGAGUGCAUGCGGUACACAGUGAGGAGCACUUUCCCAUAGGUGCCCAGGAUGAACAAGAAAGGGAACAGGAGAUAGAUGACAGUGCUGAGGAGCACAGUGUACUCAUAGACACGGGUGUCCCAACAUGCCAGAGUCACCAUGGCUGGGACAUUGCAGAAGAAAUGAUUGAUGCUCCUGGACCUGCAGUAAGGGAUAUGGAAGACGUAGACUGUGUGAGCACAGGAGUUGACAGCACACAUUGCCCAGGAUCCUAGGAUCAUCAGCACACACACUCUUCUGUUCAUGUGGAUGGGGUAGGGCAGAGGGAAGCAAAUAGCCAUAUAAUGGUCAUAGGCCAUAUACAUCAAAAUAGGUCCCUCUGAACCAGCUAACAUGGCAAAAAAGAAACACUGAACCUCACACUAAAUGAAGGAGAUGGACUUGUUUCCAAAGAGGAAACCAGAAGUCAUCUUGGGCACAGUGGUGCAGAUGUAAAUGAGGUCCGUGAGGGAGAGCUGGCUGAGCAGGAAGUACAUGGGUGUGUGGAGCUGCACAUCCAGGAGGAUGAGCAGGACCAUGCACAGUUUGCCAGCCAGGGCCAUCAGGAAUGUGGGGACUGUGAGAGUGAAGAGGAAAAGGCCAAGGCUUGAUGGGGGAAACAGGCCCAGGAGGAUGAAGUUGGUAGAGGUCUCAUUGUAGUUUUCCAUCAGUCAUUUGCUUGGCUUUUCCUGAGAGUGCCUGCAGUGAUGCAGUACAUAUAAAUAAGGAGUUAUUUCAGUUCAUUAUUUCAAUAGUUGGACUAUUCAACUAUCCAACUAUCAUAGCUUUUGAAUAAAGAAGAAAUUUUUUUAAAAAUGACUUGCAUUUUCUACCCCACAUAUUUGCCUGAGGAUGGAAAACACAUUUUAACAAAAUAUAAUAAAUCUGUAAAUUUAUCAAAAUAACAUAUUUCUCUAAUCCCUUUUUCCAAACUCAGAUAUUUUGUUUACUUACAAAAUCAGAUGACAUCAAGAAGAAAACUUACAUGAAAGGUGCACAUAUGUAAAUGAAUGGAAGUAUCUCAAUUAUAGACCCAUAUUUUAAUACAUUUUCAUGACCCCUAGUGAUUCUUUUACUUCCUGUUUGAAAACAGAUUAUUUUUAUAAACUUUUAACAUUUAUAUAGUGAUUUUUUUUAUUUUGGUUCACUAGAAAUAUUAUAAGGAAUUAGAAGAUUGAAUUUUAAAAGAAUGUAAAUAUUAAAAGAAAAUGUAAUAAAAAACAAGACAUUUCUCCAGUUUUAUUUAUUUAUUUAUUUUUGGUACCAGGGAUCAAACUUGGGUCCUUGCACUUGCAGGGCAGGCAGUGGGACCACUGAGCUAAAUCCCCAGCCCUCUCCUGAGUAGUUUUGCCAACAACUCACUUCCUCUGUUUUUGUCCCAGGCAAGUUAUCCUAAUGACCCAGAGCUUUGCAAAGGGACACUUCCUAAUCACCUGCAGGCAGAAACCUUAUAACCCUGGGACCAGAUCAGCCUUCCCAGGACAUGGAACCCACUGGCUCCCAGCACAUGUGUCUCAGCUCUGGAAAUCUGACCAUGCCUGUGUCUGCAUACACAAUUAUGAGAAUGAAAUCAAACUGGCAGCAGGUUUUUGAACUUACUGUCUUAUAAAAUUGAAGCCAAGUGACCCCAAAAAAUGACCUUUGCAGGAUCAACAAGCAUUGUUCUGCAGUGUCCCAGAAUUGAGUCUUUCAUGAGAUGCUUCCUUCCUUCAAGGGCUUUUAUACCAGAUGCUAGUAAAGAGAAAAGAAUGUAAUUUCUUGUAUGGUUUUAUUAUAUAUCAUGAUAGUCUCUUCAAAUGGAUAAGCAGUUUUUGUUUUCAGCCAUGUAGAAAGACAUAGAAACAAGACAGAGAACAUUUUUAGCAUUUGAAGGCAUUUGGAGUGCACGGUGAAGAUGCAUGUUACUGUGUCCUUCUAAGUCAUAAACACCCAGGGAACCCCACAAGGAUGAAUCAGCGUCAGCCAGAGGUGGAACCUAAGCAGUCAGCCAGGUGUCCUGAGAGGAAUGAGAGAACCACAGGGUUUCCUCCUGUGAAUGAGGGUCAGGCUGGGGUGGAUUCAGGCUGUUGACUGCACAAUCUGGGCACAGAGUCUGACACAAUUCCCCUUCUCCUACUCAGCAGGGAAGUGCACUGCCCUGGUGGACAGGACCUGUGGGUUCCUCCCAGCCUGCACAGUGGAUGACCCUGAACUGGGCUGGUCCAUGUGGGGAGAGUCCACAUGUCCCUAAUGGGGCUGGAUGCCCAGGGUCAGCCUUGGGCUCACAUUGGCCCACAUAAGCUCCCCACAUGUAAAGGUGUCUGUGCAGGUGCUGCUAUGGUUUCCCUGACAACUGAGAUGACUGUGCAGCAGUGAAGGCCAUGAAUUGCGAGUGUGACCUGUGAAGCAGCACAAUCAGGCAGUGGUGGGUGGAGAAAGGUAGAUUACUGAGAUGCAUCCACGAUUCCUAGGAAAAUCUCAAUUAUUUACAAUAGGUAUUUUUAAAUAUAAAAAGCACACUCUCACCCCAUUAGUAUUUCAUCUAAAUGUGGUAUUUAGAAAUUAAUAACUCAAAAGAAGCUUUAGUGGAGAGUUUCAUCAUAUAGUGUUUUAAAAAACAUAGAUGAAGAUUUUAUAAUCAACAGAUUCAUAUCAGUUAAAAUACUGUGGAGAUGAAAAUGCAUUUCCUUUGAGAUAUCAUUUUACUCAUAGGCAAAAAAAAUACAGUGAACUGGAGAAAUAAAGAAACCUAUGUUCUGUUACACUUAAGGAGAAGCAGGACUCUCAGAUCUGCUUCUUCCAUCAGAUUUAAUAGGACCAGGUUGAGCCAGCCUGCACAUGCCCCAGUGUCAUUGUCACAAACAUCCAGCACUCCCUUCAAACCCAGGGCUAUAUUCAUGUUAGUACAAAAGCACUUCUGACUGUAAACUUGCAGUGACUGUGCCUGAAACUCUGCAUCCAUUUCAUUUCUCAACUUCACCUUGCUUACAUGGAUUACUGCACUCAUUUUCUAAAUUAGAUCACAUAUGGAAUUAAAUAUGGAAUGGUAGAUUAAAUGUGGAAUGUUUCCAAUGUAGACAGUAAUCCACAGGACCAAUGGGAUUCAUACCAUCUGUUUCAACACCUCAUGGACCUGCAUGAAAAUACUCCUACUACUCAAGAAAAUAACUCACUUUACCAAGUCCAAAUUCAAGAAUCUUCAAAUUGUCCCCAAUGUUUUCCAUGCCCAGAAGAUGCAGCACAGGUCCAAACAUGAUACACCUGCUCCUGCUACUUGAAGUGUAUGAAUUCUGAAACAUGGAUUUUUCCUAUAAAUAUCUUAGUUCAUUUAAUAUUCAUUGAAAUCUCACAUUUUGAAAUAUCAUUUGAAUUUAUCUAAAAUUUCAAUAUAUAUUUUACCAUAUAGUGUUACUAUUAAUUAAAGCAGC
rnacentral:lncRNA from 1 species